UUUUUUUUAAAGGUGUUGACUGCCACAUUAUUGGUGGAUGAGGAUCAACCAACACUAAUUUUAGCUUUUCUCAACUUCUUCGACACUUCAACAUGUGCGCGAAGGAUAACAUGUGGUUGAACCUAAUUGGAGGGUGUUCAUAUGGACGAUUUUUUUUGAAAGAUCGAAUGCAUGAUCAAACUAUCUGAACACAACUACCCUGCCCCAGGUUAAGAUUAAGGGUUUUAGAUCCGAAAUAAACACCAACUUCUAGGCUCAAAGUGGUUGACUAGGGAUUAACUCCUUAUCUCUUCAGUGUUUGGGGAUUUGAAACAAUGCCUUACAUCAUUGACAAGGUUUUACUCAAAAGCAUACCACAACAAUUUCAGGUGUUUCGUUUUCAUCAUCCUCCCUCCAAUCUUUGUUAACACAACGGUUUGAUAAACAAAAGUGAAUGAGAGGAGUAUUUUUUUAUUUUUUUAUUUUUUUUUUAUUUUUUUAUUUUUAACAUAAAUGAAAAACGAGUGAAUACGAAUGGAUUGAUUCAAAAGAUGCAUAAACAUUUCAUUAAUCUUACCAAUUCA
rnacentral:lncRNA from 1 species